UUAUAGUGAUAUACAGUGUGAGCGGGUUCAACAUUCAAAAAACUCCCGUGAAGCAUUUCACAAAUGACGAUCCACUCUUUGGUCAGACUGUUAUUCAAUCAACAGAUGGAGUUUUUGUUCCUUCACCAAAACAUGGAAAACUUUUUAGAUGCACUCUAGAGCAUGAAUGCGUCGAAAUAAAUUCUGAUGAUAAAAAGCCUAAAGGCCUGAGACCAGUAGCAUCAGUAUCUAGUCUGACAUCAGAAGAGGAACAACAUGUUAUGGUAUGUAUAAAUAUCC